rnacentral:rRNA from 5 species
AACAGGAAGCAGCUUGCUGCUUCGCUGACGAGUGGCGGACGGGUGAGUAAUGUCUGGGAAACUGCCUGAUGGAGGGGGAUAACUACUGGAAACGGUGGCUAAUACCGCAUAACGUCGCAAGACCAAAGAGGGGGACCUUCGGGCCUCUUGCCAUCAGAUGUGCCCAGAUGGGAUUAGCUUGUUGGUGAGGUAACGGCUCACCAAGGCGACGAUCCCUAGCUGGUCUGAGAGGAUGACCAGCCACACUGGAACUGAGACACGGUCCAGACUCCUACGGGAGGCAGCAGUGGGGAAUAUUGCACAAUGGGCGCAAGCCUGAUGCAGCCAUGCCGCGUGUAUGAAGAAGGCCUUCGGGUUGUAAAGUACUU